UAAUAGCUCACUGGUCGAGUCGGCCUGCGCGGAAGAUGUAACGGGGCUAAACCAUGCACCGAAGCUGCGGCAGCGACACUAUGUGUUGUUGGGUAGGGGAGCGUUCUGUAAGCCUGUGAAGGUGUACUGUGAGGUAUGCUGGAGGUAUCAGAAGUGCGAAUGCUGACAUAAGUAACGAUAAAGCGGGUGAAAAGCCCGCUCGCCGGAAGACC
rnacentral:rRNA from 1 species